rnacentral:tRNA from 1 species
UGGAAUAUAGUUCAGUGGUAGAACAACGGUCUAUACACCGUGUGUCCCGGGUUCGAUUCCUGGUAUUCCGA